AAUUCUGCCCAGCCCCCCUAAAAAUUAUUUGAUUAAUUAUUUUAUGAUCGCUUCAGUCCCCUUUAAAAACGCAUUUGAAGCGGCGACAAGCUGCGUCAUGUUUCGGCUCCUCCCCUGAACUGAGUCUGCGUGGAUUCAGCGCGUUUUUCCAUCCAGCAGAGCAAACAUCAGAGAGUUCAAGGAGUAGGUCUGCAAAUGAGCAACAGUCAGAAAAGUCAGUGCAAAAAAGAGAAUGAAGUGGAGGCAGAGCAGACUGAAGAUGUCACAACAGAGAAAGGGAAAGAUCAUGAUUCAGGUUGCCCUCACUGUACCUGUUAGCAGCUGUUCGUGCAAGAGGUCCUUCGGUGCUCUUCGUCGUCUCCGCAACUGGCUAAGGAGAACAACGGGUCAGAGCAGGUUCCAUCAACUGGCAGUUAUGGCCAUUGAGAAAGAUGUCGUUGAGCAAUCGGACCAUGAUAAAAUUAUCAACAGGUUUGCUACUCUUAAGGAGAGAAGACACAGGUUGAUGGUCCCAAUGAAAGACCAGUAACUGGACUGCAAAAACUUUGUCCCUGCUUCUCACAAGCUGCUUCAUUUUCGCUUGUUUUUCAUUCCUUCUGAUAGUUAACCACAGUCCAUUGUCCAGCCUCAUACUGUACAUGUUUAUAUUGCUGAUAUGCAUAGUCAAAUUUUAUGGCUUUUAUGUUAUUUUCUGGUUAAAAGUUGGUUAAAAGUUUAUUUUAUUUUGUCAAAAAAGUUCCUUAUCUGAGGUUUUAUUGUGAGCAUAGAAAUGCAAACAGUAAAAUGUUGUGUUUGUACUGGAAACAUGUGUAUGUGUCUUUGUACAGUGAGUAAUGAAUCAGGAAGUCUUCAUUGUAAAAAAAAAACUAAUCUAAACCUAUGGUUAAGAGUAUUAUAUAAAGAGAUGGACCAAUGAAACCGAGCAGGUUUUACAAGCCUGUUUUGACCUCAGUGAGUGGAGUGUUUUUGAAGCUGCUGCCAACAAUCUGUACAAGACCAUUGAGACUUUAACUUCAUAUAUCAGUUUCUGUGAGGACACAUGCAUCCCUACCAGAAGUCAUCUAACGACGAUAAGCCAUGGUUUACAGCAAAACUCAAACAUCUUCAUCAAGCCAAAGAGGAUGCCUACAGAAACGGCAUUCUUUCAUCUAUAGCACAACUGUACAUACAAAUGAUUUAUUUUUCUAUUUAUUUAUUUAUGUAUUUAUUUAUUUAUUU